rnacentral:tRNA from 1 species
GCCGCCUUAGCUCAGUUGGUAGAGCUUCGGUUUUGUAAACCGAGGGUCGCCGGUUCGAGUCCGGCAGGCGGCUC